GAUGAACGCUGGCGGCGUGCCUAAUACAUGCAAGUCGAGCGAACAGACGAGGAGCUUGCUCCUCUGACGUUAGCGGCGGACGGGUGAGUAACACGUGGAUAACCUACCUAUAAGACUGGGAUAACUUCGGGAAACCGGAGCUAAUACCGGAUAAUAUAUUGAACCGCAUGGUUCAAUAGUGAAAGACGGUUUUGCUGUCACUUAUAGAUGGAUCCGCGCCGCAUUAGCUAGUUGGUAAGGUACAGGCUUACCAAGGCAACGAUGCGUAGCCGACCUGAGAGGGUGAUCGGCCACACUGGAACUGAGACACGGUCCAGACUCCUACGGGAGGCAGCAGUAGGGAAUCUUCCGCAAUGGGCGAAAGCCUGACGGAGCAACGCCGCGUGAGUGAUGAAGGUCUUCGGAUCGUAAAACUCUGUUAUUAGGGAAGAACAAAUGUGUAAGUAACUAUGCACGUCUUGACGGUACCUAAUCAGAAAGCCACGGCUAACUACGUG
rnacentral:rRNA from 1 species